GGCGGUUCUCAGGUGACACAUCCGGGAAUCGGGCUCCCUCCUCUCUGGUCCCUGUGUGUCACCUGAGAACCGCA
rfam:Myotis davidii contig88202, whole genome shotgun sequence.